GUUUUUUCACGCAGUGUAUACGUAUUAUAUUUAUUUAUUUAGUUUGAGUUAGUAUAACUAUCUAUCUAUUUAUAUAUAUAUAUAUAUAUAUAUUUAUAAUAAUAAAACAUGGGUUUCUCUCACCUUAGCCUUCCACGUCAUCAGGUGGGGAAGGACGUUUCAGGCCACGUGGAUAGGGAGAGAUUUUACGGGUUGCUGAAUCUUAAAAGUAGAGUGGACCGGCCUGUAUAUUUGUUAUUAUAAUUUCUAAUAAGCCACAAUAUUACAACAAUAAAUAUCAAUUAUGUCAAUUAUUUUUCGUGUGUGUGGGGCUUAGCCCACUAAAAUCCAGUGAUCUUCUCAUUUUUUUUUGUCGAUAGAAGUUCCUCUACGACGGCCGAAUCUGCCAAGCUGAAACCCUGACGGUUCCACUUCACUAAUUCUGAUACCGUAACUGUUGUUAAUUAUGGCAUUCAUUCCUAGAGGAACAUUUUCAAUUCAGCCUCGCGUACGAUCAUCCAAUAUAAAUAUAGACCCAAAAGGAGUUUACAAAACAAUAUUUUUGUUUCGUCUUUUUCUUUAUGUUCUUAGCUCUCUCCAACAGUAGCUCUAAGCCUUUAAAGAUGAUUGAUUUUCAGCUUCUUCUUGCCCAGUUGAAGGCAGAUCUGUGUACCCAGAAGGUAGUCACACGGGUUUUACGUUUUUGCUGAUGGGGGGUCGACAUGGUUGUGAUGGAUGAGAAGUCGACGCUUAUUCAUACUUCCAUUAGCGUUAAUCGUCUUAACCAAAACUUCUGGCUUUGGGAGUGCCAUGUUUCCAUAAGAUUCACAGAACACACCAAAUUCGUUGAGCUAGCAGCAACCAUCAAUCUAAUUCCUCUCGAGAUGUUUUGGUUCUGUACGUAUGACCAUUAUCUCCUACUACUAUUACUAACACCGAUUUACCAGGUCUGUCCCUGUGAUUCUCGAUGAUACCUACCUCUUUUACUAUUCUUUGGUUGCAGAUUUGGUUGGUGUUUCAAUGACGAGACACAGACCACAUAACGUAUAAUGGCAGGCUUGCAAAUUGAUAGUUGUUUAUGUGCCAGGAGGUUAUAACCAUCCUGGUGACGACAUGACUGGAGCUGGAGCAUGAUCUGUGAAGACUAACCAACCUGAUGGUCUGAUAACUGAAUUCAUUAAGGGAACAGCUAGGAUGUAUAAUGUUAGUCGUUGCUGAAGGAGGUGAUGUCGACCCUGCUCUUUGAACAUGUUUUAGCUGGGUCUCCGGAUGAGAAUGAAUCAAUUACUGAGGACAAGCGUGAAGGGAAGCCACAUUGCUUAAUUUCACAACCUAAGGAACUUCAGAGUUUCUCUCUCUUUUCUAUCGCAGUAGCUGUUUUUUUUUUUCCACCUUUAAAACUUUACCUACAAGGAAACAUAGCUGGUGCAAUGUCUCUAUUGAGAUCUAUGUUAAUACUUGGAAUCAAUAAAGACAGGGUAAUCUCAUAUUGUUGUAUUGGAUAUGGAAUGGCAUAUUGUUGUAGUGGAUAAGGAAUGGCGAGAAAUACAAAUUUGAAGAACAAUUUUUACAAA